rnacentral:rRNA from 1 species
ACGGGUGAGUAAUACAUCGGAACAUGUCCUGUAGUGGGGGAUAGCCCGGCGAAAGCCGGAUUAAUACCGCAUACGAUCUACGGAUGAAAGCGGGGGACCUUCGGGCCUCGCGCUAUAGGGUUGGCCGAUGGCUGAUUAGCUAGUUGGUGGGGUAAAGGCCUACCAAGGCGACGAUCAGUAGCUGGUCUGAGAGGACGACCAGCCACACUGGGACUGAGACACGGCCCAGACUCCUACGGGAGGCAGCAGUGGGGAAUUUUGGACAAUGGGCGAAAGCCUGAUCCAGCAAUGCCGCGUGUGUGAAGAAGGCCUUCGGGUUGUAAAGCACUUUUGUCCGGAAAGAAAUCCUUGGUUCUAAUAUAGCCGGGGGAUGACGGUACCGGAAGAAUAGGCACCGGCUAACUACGUGCCAGCAGCCGCGGUAAUACGUAGGGUGCGAGCGUUAAUCGGAAUUACUGGGCGUAAAGCGUGCGCAGGCGGUUUGCUAAGACCGAUGUGAAAUCCCCGGGCUCAACCUGGGAACUGCAUUGGUGACUGGCAGGCUAGAGUAUGGCAGAGGGGGGUAGAAUUCCACGUGUAGCA